rnacentral:rRNA from 1 species
AUUGAACGCUGGCGGCAUGCCUUACACAUGCGAGUCGAACGGCAGCACGGGGCAACCUGGUGGCGAGUGGCGAACGGGUGAGUAAUGCAUCGGAACGUACCUUUCAGUGGGGGAUAACGUAGCGAAAGUUACGCUAAUACCGCAUAUUCUGUGAGCAGGAAAGCAGGGGAUCGCAAGACCUUGCGCUGAUUGAGCGGCCGAUGUCGGAUUAGCUAGUUGGUGAGGUAAAGGCUCACCAAGGCGACGAUCUGUAGCGGGUCUGAGAGGAUGAUCCGCCACACUGGAACUGAGACACGGUCCAGACUCCUACGGGAGGCAGCAGUGGGGAAUUUUGGACAAUGGGGGCAACCCUGAUCCAGCCAUGCCGCGUGAGUGAAGAAGGCCUUCGGGUUGUAAAGCUCUUUCGGCCGGGAAGAGAUCGCACGGGCUAAUACCCUGUGUGGAUGACGGUACCGGAAUAAGAAGCACCGGCUAACUACGUGCCAGCAGCCGCAGUAACAC